AUUGAACGCUGGCGGCAGGCUUUACACAUGCAAGUCGAACGGCAGCGGGGUAGUGCUUGCACUACUGCCGGCGCGUGGCGAACGGGAGAGUAAUAUAUCUGCCCGUACCGAGUAAUGGGGGAUAACCAAUCGAAAGAUUGGCUAAUACCGCAUACGUCCUGAGGGAGAAAGCGGGGGAUCGCAAGACCUCGCGUUAUUCGCGCGGCCGAUAACUGAUUAGCUAGUUGGUGGGGUAAAGGCCUACCAAGGCGACGAUCAGUAGCGGGUCUGAGAGGACGAUCAGCCACACUGGGACUGAGACACGGCCCAGACUCCUACGGGAGGCAGCAGUGGGGAAUUUUGGACAAUGGGGGCAACCCUGAUCCAGCCAUGCCGCGUGUAUGAAGAAGGCCUUCGGGUUGUAAAGUACUUUUGUUAGGGAAGAAAAGGGAAGUGCUAAUACCACUUUUUGCUGACGGUACCUAAAGAAUAAGCACCGGCUAACUACGUG
rnacentral:rRNA from 1 species